rnacentral:lncRNA from 1 species
AUGGAUGACAUCAAGCUGUACGCUAAGAAUGAGCGAGACAUCGACUCGCUGAUCCACACCACCAGGAUCUACAGCUCAGACAUCAGGAUGUCAUUCGGGCUUGAGAAAUGUGGGAGGAUGGUGACAAAGAGAGGCAAGGUAAUCCACACAGAAGGGGUCUCACUCCCAGAAGGAACAAUAGCAGACAUUGAGGACAAUUACAAGUACCUUGGAAUACCACAGGCAAACGGCAACCUUGAACAGGCAACAAGGAAUGCGGCAACAGCCAAAUACCUCGAACGAGUAAGGCAAGUCCUAAGUAGCCAGCUCAAUGGCAAGAACAAAUCCCGGGCAAUAAACAGCUACGCCCUGCCAGUGAUCAGAUACCCUGCGGGAAUAAUAAGGUGGCCAAAGGAAGAGAUACAGACCACAGAUGUUAAGACACGAAAGCUCCUCACUAUGCAUGGAGGGUUCCACCCCAAAUCCAGCACCCUGAGACUGUACGCUAGCCGCAAGGAAGGAGGCCGAGGACUAGUGAGCGUGAGAGCCACUAUCCAGGAUGAAACAUCCAAGAUCCAUAAGUACAUCAAGGAUAAGGCCCCGACAGAUGACGUGCUGAGUGAAUGUCUCAGGCAGUGGAGAACAGAGGAUGAGAUGCUGGAAGAGGGACCAUCAUGGGAGGACAAGCCCUUACACGGGAUGUACCACCGGAACAUAACUGAAGUGGCUGAUCUCAACAAAUCCUACCAAUGGCUUGAACGGGCCGGGCUGAAGGACAGCACAGAGGCACUCAUCCUGGCUGCACAGGAGCAGGCCCUGAGCACCAGAGCCAUAGAGGCCCAGAUCUACCACACCAGACAAGACCCAAGGUGUAGACUGUGCAAAGAGGCCCCUGAGACGGUCCAGCACAUAACUGCAGGGUGUAAGAUGCUGGCAGGGAAAGCAUACAUGGAACGCCAUAACCAAGUGGCUGGCAUAGUAUACAGGAACAUCUGCGCAGAGUAUGGACUGGAAACCCCAAGGUCAAAGUGGGAAACACCUCCCAAGGUGGUAGAGAACGAGCAAGCCAAGAUCCUGUGGGACUUCCAGAUACGGACAGAAAGAAAGGUAAUGGCGAACCAACCAGACAUUGUGGUGGUGGACAAAGAACAGAGGAAAGCCAUAGUGGUGGAUGUGGCAAUACCAAGCGAUGGCAACAUCAGGAAAAAGGAACAUGAGAAACUAGAGAAAUACCAAGGGCUCAGAGAAGAACUGGAGAAGGCUUGGAAGGUGAAGGCCACAGUGGUGCCUGUGGUGAUUGGAGCACUAGGGGCAGUGACCCCCAAACUGGAGGAGUGGCUACAACAGAUCCCUGGAAAAACACCCGAAAUCUCAGUCAAGAAAAGUGCAGUCCUAGGAACAGCAAGGAUACUGCGCAGAACCCUCAAGCUCUCUGGGCUCUGGUAG